GACGAACGCUGGCGGCGUGCUUAACACAUGCAAGUCGAGCGAUGAAGCACCUUCGGGUGUGAAUUAGCGGCGAACGGGUGAGGAACACGUGAAGAAUCUGCCUUCAACUCUGGGAUAACUCCGGGAAACCGGGGCUAAUACCGGAUAUGAGCCUUGAUCGCAUGAUCGGGGCUGGAAAGUUUUUCGGUUGAAGAUGACUUCGCGGCCUUUCAGCUUGUUGGUGAGGUAAUGGCUCACCAAGGCGACGACGGGUAGCCGGCCGGAGAGGGCGACCGGCCACACUAGGACUGAGACACGGCCCAGACUCCUACGGGAGGCAGCAGUGGGGAAUAUUGGGCAAUGGAGGAAACUCUGACCCAGCGACGCCGCGUGAGUGAUGAAGGCCUUCGGGUUGUAAACCUCUUUCAGUAGGGAAGAAGCGAAAGUGACGGUACCUACAGAAGAAGCACCGGCUAACUAUGUGCCAGCAGCCGCAGUAA
rnacentral:rRNA from 1 species